rnacentral:rRNA from 1 species
GACGAACGCUGGCGGCGUGCUUAACACAUGCAAGUCGAACGGAAAGGCCCUGCUUUUGUGGGGUGCUCGAGUGGCGAACGGGUGAGUAACACGUGAGUAACCUGCCCUUGACUUUGGGAUAACUUCAGGAAACUGGGGCUAAUACCGGAUAGGAGCUCCUGCUGCAUGGUGGGGGUUGGAAAGUUUCGGCGGUUGGGGAUGGACUCGCGGCUUAUCAGCUUGUUGGUGGGGUAGUGGCUUACCAAGGCUUUGACGGGUAGCCGGCAUGAGAGGGUGACCGGCCAAAAUGGGACUGAGAGACGGCACAGAAUGCUACGGGAGGCAGCAGUGGGGAAUAGUGCACAAUGGGCGGAAGCCUGAUGCAGCAACGGCGGGUGCGGGAUGAAGGCCUUCGGGUUGUAAACCGAUUUCGGCUGUGAAGAAGAGUGAGUGACGGUAAUGGGUAAAGAAGCACCGGCUAACUACGUG